GAACGAUUGGCUCAGUUGGAAAGAGCGCUCGCACGUGACGCGAGAGGUAGUGGGUUCGAGUCCCGCAUCGUUCA